CAGAUGGCGGGGAAGGCGUUUCCUCGUGCGGUGACGGUGUGUUCGUUGUCAGGAGAAUCGUUCAUCGUCAGUAUGACCCAGACACAGGAAGGUGUUUCUUACUUCGUGAAACCCAAGACUUCCGACCAAAAUGCUUACAUAAUGAUUCUGAUGGUUGUGGUGGUGACACUGACUCUUCUGCUUACGACGGCGUGCUGAUAAAAUAAGGUCCCAGAGUGAACGGCGACAGAGCAGGCGGAAGGAACUCACGUCGGCGAGGAAGCGCCUUCUUCGUUCAGCUCCGAAGAUCCUCAGAAGCAGCCCGUCCGUUGCUCCGAGGAAUCUGCCUCGGAAGAAACUUAUUGCCGACAUCCACGCGUUGUUAUUGGCUGGGAAAAGGGGUCGGUUUGCGGCGAAUCAAGUGUCUUUGACCGAUCUGGAGGCGGACCAGUUUCUUGUGUCUUUGAGGAUCUUGUUUUGUUUAUUUGUCUGAUUCUUGUAUUGUUUUUUGUUUGUUUUUGUCAAUUCAGCUGCAUUGCAAUGUAUUUUCUUCUUAUUAAGAAGGGAAAUUCUAAAGAUUUGUUGAAAAGAAAAUGAGUUUAUUGUUUGUGGCGUUUCAAAUAUCUUUGAUUUUAUCAUCAUGUAUCAGGAAUGUAAAAUAGGAAAGUUUAGCGUCUAUUUUGGUAAAUACAGUAUGCUAUUCUGUACCAUCCAGGUCGUGUGUUUUCCAAAGCUUGUGUAGAAUGAUAACGUUUGAUUAUUUGAUCUGUUACUUUUACCCUAAUGCAGAAUAAGAUUUUUAAAUGCUAAUCACAAUCAAUACUACGAAUGAUUGACUAUGAUAAAAGCAUUUUAGGGGGAAAGUAAUGCGCAUAUAAGGUUUUAUGAUUAACUAUUCUUUUCCAUGAGUGAAUAUCUACCACAUACUCUGUUGGUAAAAUCAUGAUUAACCCUUAUUUUAUGAUAACAAUACUACUACUACUAAUAAUAAUAAUAAGCAUGGUGAUAAUGAUAAAAAUAAUGAUAACAGUAACAAAGAUAAUGAUAAUAUGGAUAAUGAUAAUAAGUCGACAAAACGUCUACAGAAAAGAUCAUGGAAACCUGUGGCACCGUAACAUAAUGCAAAGCGAAGAUACGAAGUUCCUCGUUCAGCCUUCCUGUGCCAGUAGCUCUUUCCCACCGAUAAUCAAACCUGCCGUGAAGUAAUUAGUCAACAUGUCUGACUGAGAGGAAAUGAUCAUGGAAAUGCAACAUUAGCUGCAUCAGGGGAAGCCCUCGUUAUUGUCUUGUUUUUUUUUUUUGUUUUUUGUUUUUUGUUUUUUGUUUUUUGCUUUUUUUUCAUUUUCUUUUUGUCAUUUCAGUUCUAUUCCUUUCACAAAUAACACAAGCUCGUAAAUCACCCACGCGGCCUUGUAACCUAUUCAGAAGCUACAUAAGGUCCAUUAUCAUAGGAAUUUUUUUAGAUGGACUUAUCAUAUAUAGAUUUCAAAAUAUUAAUUCGGUAGAAAAAAAAACACAGAAUAUUUGUAAUAAUGCUCAUAGACUUUUAUUCUUUUUGCACACACUUAUGUUUGUAUCUGGAAAUAAAGGCUUGAUAAGAGUAAACAAUAAAACACCAGGCUGAAAAUAAACCGGCAAAAAGAAGAAAUAAAGUUUUUGUUCACGUAAUUUAACGUUAAUAAGUCAAUCAAGCAACUCAUUUCUUGCAUUGUUU